rnacentral:rRNA from 1 species
AUCUGGCUCAGAUUGAACGCUGGCGGCAGGCUUAACACAUGCAAGUCGAGCGGGGAAGGUUGCUUCGGUAACUGACCUAGCGGCGGACGGGUGAGUAAUGCUUAGGAAUCUGCCUAUUAGUGGGGGACAACAUUCCGAAAGGAAUGCUAAUACCGCAUACGCCCUACGGGGGAAAGCAGGGGAUCUUCGGACCUUGCGCUAAUAGAUGAGCCUAAGUCGGAUUAGCUAGUUGGUGGGGUAAAGGCCUACCAAGGCGACGAUCUGUAGCGGGUCUGAGAGGAUGAUCCGCCACACUGGGACUGAGACACGGCCCAGACUCCUACGGGAGGCAGCAGUGGGGAAUAUUGGACAAUGGGCGCAAGCCUGAUCCAGCCAUGCCGCGUGUGUGAAGAAGGCCUUUUGGUUGUAAAGCACUUUAAGCGAGGAGGAGGCUCCUUUAGUUAAUACCUAAAGAGAGUGGACGUUACUCGCAGAAUAAGCACCGGCUAACUCUGUGCCAGCCGCCGC